UCUCCUGUAGCUGGCAGAGUGUCUGACUGGUGUUUCAGAAGGUCACAGGUUCGACUCCUGCUGGGAGAA